rnacentral:rRNA from 1 species
AAUACGUAGGGUGCGAGCGUUAAUCGGAAUUACUGGGCGUAAAGCGUGCGCAGGCGGUUCUGAAAGUCAGCUGUGAAAGCCCCGGGCUUAACCUGGGAAUUGCGGUUGAAACUACAGGGCUAGAAUCUGGCAGAGGGGGGUGGAAUUCCACGUGCAGCAGUGAAAUGCGUAGAGAUGUGGAGGAACACCGAUGGCGAAGGCAGCCCCCUGGGCUGAGAUUGACGCUCAGGCACGAAAGCGUGGGGAGCAAACAGG